UAGGGAAUCUUCCACAAUGGACGCAAGUCUGAUGGAGCAACGCCGCGUGAGUGAAGAAGGUUUUCGGACCGUAAAGCUCUGUUGUUGGUGAAGAAGGAUAGAGGUAGUAACUGGCCUUUAUUUGACGGUAAUCAACCAGAAAGUCACGGCUAACUACGUGCCAGCAGCCGCGGUAAUACGUAGGUGGCAAGCGUUGUCCGGAUUUAUUGGGCGUAAAGCGAGCGCAGGCGGAAGAAUAAGUCUGAUGUGAAAGCCCUCGGCUUAACCGAGGAAUUGCAUCGGAAACUGUUUUUCUUGAGUGCAGAAGAGGAGAGUAGAACUCCAUGUGUAGCGGUGGAAUGCGUAGAUAUAUGGAAGAAUACCAGUGGCGAAGGCGGCUCUCUGGUCUGCAACUGACGCUGAGGCUCGAAAGCAUGGGUAGCGAACAGGAUUAGAUACCCUGGUAGUCCAUGCCGUAAACGAUGAGUGCUAAGUGUUGGGAGGCUUCCGCCUCUCAGUGCUGCAGCUAACGCAUUAAGCACUCCGCCUGGGG
rnacentral:rRNA from 1 species